CCACUGAGAAGAUAGUGGCGAACGGGUGGAGUAACACCGUGGGUAACCCGACCCCACUAAGAGGGGGAGUAACAAUCCGGAAACGGGUAGCUAAUACCGCAUAGUUUUCUUGAUCGCAUGAUUGAGAAAGGAAAGACGGCCUUUGUGCUGUCGCUUAUGGAUGGACCCGCGGCGUAUUAGUUAGUUGGUGAGGUAAUGGCUCACCAAGACGAUGAUACGUAGCCGACCUGAGAGGGUGAUCGGCCACAUUGGGACUGAGACACGGCCCAAACUCCUACGGGAGGCAGCAGUAGGGAAUCUUCCGCAAUGGACGAAAGUCUGACGGAGCAACGCCGCGUGAGUGAAGAAAAGGGUUUUCGGAUCGUAAAACUCUGUUGUCAGAGAAGAACAAGUUGGAGAGUAACUGCUCCAGCCUUGACGGUAUCUGACCAGAAAGCCACGGCUAACUACGUGCCAGCCGCAGC
rnacentral:rRNA from 1 species